UAAAAUAUCCAAAUAUGAAACAGAUGUGUGAGACUCUGUGGCAUGAGGAUUUUUACCAUCAUAUACAUCCACACAUGUUCCAAAUAAAUCCGGGAAGCUCGGCAUAUAUACCCAGUAGAUUGGUACAGAAAACAACGCAACAAGGACAGGAUGCAUUUACUUCUGAAACGAGUGGUCAUCUUUUGGCUGUUUGUAGCAGUCUUCUCUUGUAAAUAUAAUUUUGAAUGCAGUGGAAAGGUUGGUUGUCCAUAUGGUCAACUGGAAGCUUGCUCAUAUAGACAGUGUACAUGUAAAGAAGGGUCGGGAUGCUUGUUUGAUCGUAACUGCAGAGACGACUGCUACCGAAACCAAACCUCUGACUGUCGCUGGUUUAGAUGUUAUUGUCAUAAUACUAAAUAAAAAAGGAAAUCGUUUUGCAAAUCACAUCA